rnacentral:rRNA from 2 species
AAUUGAUUGAUGGUGCUUGCACCUGAUUGAUUUUGGUCGCCAACGAGUGGCGGACGGGUGAGUAACACGUAGGUAACCUGCCCAGAAGCGGGGGACAACAUUUGGAAACAGAUGCUAAUACCGCAUAACAGCGUUGUUCGCAUGAACAACGCUUAAAAGAUGGCUUCUCGCUAUCACUUCUGGAUGGACCUGCGGUGCAUUAGCUUGUUGGUGGGGUAACGGCCUACCAAGGCGAUGAUGCAUAGCCGAGUUGAGAGACUGAUCGGCCACAAUGGGACUGAGACACGGCCCAUACUCCUACGGGAGGCAGCAGUAGGGAAUCUUCCACAAUGGGCGCAAGCCUGAUGGAGCAACACCGCGUGAGUGAAGAAGGGUUUCGGCUCGUAAAGCUCUGUUGUUAAAGAAGAACACGUAUGAGAGUAACUGUUCAUACGUUGACGGUAUUUAACCAGAAAGUCACGGCUAACUACGUGCCAGCAGCCGCGGUAAUACGUAGGUGGCAAGCGUUAUCCGGAUUUAUUGGGCGUAAAGAGAGUGCAGGCGGUUUUCUAAGUCUGAUGUGAAAGCCUUCGGCUUAACCGGAGAAGUGCAUCGGAAACUGGAUAACUUGAGUGCAGAAGAGGGUAGUGGAACUCCAUGUGUAGCGGUGGAAUGCGUAGAUAUAUGGAAGAACACCAGUGGCGAAGGCGGCUACCUGGUCUGCAACUGACGCUGAGACU